CUCAGAUCGUUCGUGUGGUCACCUGUUCACUCACUCGCUGGAAUAUGGAGCACCCAUGUGCCAAGUGCUGCUCUGAGGAAUGGAGACGGAGUCUCGGACAUACAAGAAGAAGGUGGCAGCCAAAAAAUAAUUCCUCUGUAUGGGACUGUGAAGACAAGAAAAGUGGACCGGAUCCUGGAGGGGGCAGAAGGUGGCAGCCAAAAAAUAAUUCCUCUGUAUGGGACUGUGAAGACAAGAAAAGUGGACCGGGGGUGCUCAAGUGUGCCUGAAACUUCUGGGGCUGUUGGAGGGCCGGAGCUUCGCUGUACAGGAAGCUCGGUCCAGUCCCGGCACUGGCAGCACCCUCAGGUGCAGAGGUGCCGCAGUGCAGGGCUGCUCUGGAGGCUCCCACCUAGGCGCCAGCCACGGUUGCUGGACGACUCUGCCGUCUGUUCACCUCUAGACCACACUGUUGCAACAGACUCGAAGCAGCCCGAGGACAAGCGCUGCCUCACAUCCUGUGGCCUGGGGGAGAGGGUCGUCUUCCCAGUCUCCUUCAUUUGAAAAUAACAGGAGCCAGCAGCCUCGCCCACCCCAGCCCUGAUUACCUUGUCUGCUGCUGUAUUAAUGCCCUUCACACACUCAUUACUCUUUAAUGAUGCCUGUUGGUAAAUAGCAAGACAGGAUGCAAUUAAACCAUGAGAGGCUAAAUAAACACACAUUCUAAUUAGGAUCUUUACGAGAGAUUUUUUUUUCAUGUAUAGACUGGAAUUUACCUUUCAUUAAUCUAACUUAAUUGCAAUAGUGCACCAAUAAAGAAUCAACCCAAAUUAAGUGCUCUAAAU
rnacentral:lncRNA from 1 species